ACUGUCAACCCUAUAAUAUCGCCACAAUAUCGUCAUCGAGGUAUUAGGACAAAAAUAUCGCGAUAUCUGAUCUUUCUCCAUAUCGCCCGGCCCUAUAUGAAAGUUAUAU